rnacentral:rRNA from 1 species
UCUGGUGAUGAUAGCUAAAGGGAAACACCUGUACCCAUACCGAACACAGCAGUUAAGCCUUUAAACGCCGAUUGUACUUGGUUGGUAACGACCUGGGAGAGUAGGUAGUCGCUAGUA